rnacentral:rRNA from 1 species
AAUGGCCGCAGUACCUUGACUGUGCUAAGGUAGCAUAAUCAAUUGGCUUUUAAUUAAAGUCUAGAAUGAACGGGAUCAUGGGAUUUUUCUGUCUUAAAAAAUUUAAUUAUAAUUUAUUUAUAAGGUGAAAAUACCUUUAUUUUAAAUAAAGACGAGAAGACCCUAUGAAUUUUUAUCUUUUUUUGUUGGGGCGACAAUUUAACAUUUGAUCUUAAAUUAACGUAUUUAACGAUUUUUUUAAUUAAAAUUAAAUUACCUUAGGGAUAACAGCAUUAUUGUAUAAACAGUUUGUGACCUCGAUGUUGGACUAGGAACUAUAAGGCUAACAGUCUAAAUAGAUUUGUUCUGUUCGAGACA